rnacentral:piRNA from 1 species
AAUGAGAGAUUUGUACAUGAAGAAUG